CAACCCUUAAUGAAGAAAAAAGAGAGCCCCACAGCCCAUUAAAACGUGAAUAAACAGAGAAGGGCAUAGACUGAAAAUAGUCUGCCAGCCACCUUAGAGAAAAAACAAAACCCCAGCAAACAAAACGUGAGGUUCUGCCACUUUCAAGUGAAGAAGCACAAAGGGAAUUCAAGCACAGAUAAAUAAUAAGGAUAGGAGGAGAAGAGAAAGAUUGAUCGAAGGAAGUGGUACGGAAUUGCGUGGUGACGAGUCUGGUAUUUCGACACGAGUACUAGACCGCAGGUGACGUUGGUGAGGAUUACGGUAACUAGAGAGCACGAGUUGAAAGUUCAUGGUGAGCCCCGCACUUGUCCGCGUGGGCCAAGAUUCUAUUAUCUAUGAUGGUCUUUUCUUUUGAA